rnacentral:lncRNA from 1 species
GCAAAUCGGCGAUUCGGUCUUACAAAUCCAAGAACGAGAUAUGUUUCUCAUGUCCACCAGUGAUAUUCUGAGAUAACCAUUACAAGCCAGAUUUGAAAAAGGCUGCCCGUGCAAGGUUGAGUGCUGUGAAUAGGAGCCUUAAGGUUUUAAAGUCAUGUGUGAAGAAGAAUAAGAAUAGACAGGCUUUGAAGAUCUGAGGUUGUGGCUGCUCUUGGAACAGAGUAUUUUGAGAACCUUCUUCCUGACAUUAUACAUAAUUGCUCUCAUCCAAAGGCACCUGUACGUGAUGGUUAUUUGACACUUUUCAAGCGGCGUAACAGCAGUCAAGGACGUUUUAUCGUGGAUUUACAACAUAACAUAGGCCUUCUUUCUUCUCUUUAUGAAUUCCUUUGAUUUUCCCAUUUUCUCGAUACAAGGGUUGAGGUCGGUAGUCAGUUUGGUGUGGAUGUUGGUGCUGCAAAACCAAAUUGGGAUCUUAUUAUGAGCUUUUCUAACAUCUUUGUAAUGCAUAACAUCAUUAUUGUUUGGUUACAUUUUUAUUAAAAGCUUUGGUUUGUCUUAUACAGGAAAACAUCUUCAAAGAAGAAGAGUCCUUCCACUUCUAAGACCGGUGAUAUGCAUUUGCAGCGACCUAUAUGCUUAUGCCUUGAGACCAUUGUAUAAUGUGGCAAAAUAUCAUGUUGAGGACCGAACGGGUAAAUAAGGAAAACUAAAUUUAAAAGGAAACGGGUCAAACCUUGCCAAAAUCGUUUCAGGCGUGCCACUGGAGAUAUGAUGAUGAGCAUCCAAUUAGCUUUUGGUAGAAGAUAUUCCGAUUUCCGGCUAGAAUCCAAACUAAAGUGGCACCGGAGUGUAGAGUCGGAUCUACCUUUGGAUUAAAAUUCCUCCCUUCGGGCAGAACAUGGAGGUGAGGUAUGUGCUUAAUACCUUAAUGAAUGGGGUUGCUCUACGAAUAGAAAAAAAGAUCAUCAUGGUCAUAGUUUAUACGUUCUUUUGAAUGUUGUGGUUUCUGAAAAUGAGAGUCCUUAAUGGGAAGCUGGUGACAACUUGAAAAGUGUUGGACGAUAUUAAGGACUCAACAUUGAUGUGGCAGGCGAACCGUACAAAGUUCUCGAUUCAAGAAUGGAGAGUUUAGCUUAGAAGUUUGACUUUUGUUAUACAAAGAGAGAUAGAGUGAAAGGGUGUGUCAAUAUUAACACCCAUAAUAAAUUAAUAUAAGAAGUAUGUGAAAAUAGUUUAUUGCAUUUUUAGUAUCCAAAACUUUGUAAUAGACGGGUGAAUGGAUUAUGUUCCAUUUAUUGUAUUUUUUUUUAUUUUAACAGCUAAGAUAUUUUUCUUCUAUAAUAUACUUACU